CCAGACGGCCGGACGACCGCUGCCCCAGGGUCACCCCCCGGGGUGGAGGAAAGUCCGGGCUCCACGGGAACACGGUGCCGGCCAACAGCCGGCGGGGGCGACCCCAGGGACAGUGCCACAGAAAGCAAACCGCCCGCGCAAGAGGGUCGUGACGCCGGCCGGCGAGGUCACCCCUCCACGGCCGGCCGGAUCGGCCGCUCCCGCGGGCAAGGGCGAAACGGUGCGGCAAGAGCGCACCGCGCCCCUGGCAACAGGGGCGGCAGGGUAAACCCCACCGGGAGCAAGACCGAAUAGGAGCGGCCGCCCUCGCAAGAGGGCAGGGGCGUUCCCGCCUCGCCGUUCGGGUUGGUCGCGUGAGGCGCGUCGCGAGACGCGUCCCAGAGGAAUGGUCGUCCCGCACCGCGAGGUGCGGACAGAACCCGGCUUACAGGCCGUCUGGCAGC
rnacentral:RNase_P_RNA from 2 species